AACCAGACUCCUACGGGAGGCAGCAGUGGGGGAUAUUGCACAAUGGGGGAAACCCUGAUGCAGCGACGCCGCGUGGGCGAAGAAGUAUUUCGGUAUGUAAAGCCCUAUCAGCAGGGAAGAAGAAAUGACGGUACCUGAGUAAGAAGCACCGGCUAAAUACGUGCCAGCAGCCGCGGUAAUACGUAUGGUGCAAGCGUUAUCCGGAUUUACUGGGUGUAAAGGGAGCGCAGGCGGCACGGCAAGCCUGAUGUGAAAGCCCGCGGCCCAACCGCGGGACUGCAUUGGGAACUACCGGGCUGGAGUGCCGGAGAGGUAGGCGGAAUUCCUAGUGUAGCGGUGAAAUGCGUAGAUAUUAGGAGGAACACCAGUGGCGAAGGCGGCCUGCUGGACUGCAACUGACGUUGAGGCUCGAAGGCGUGGGGAGCAAACAGGAUUAGAUACCCUCGUACCC
rnacentral:rRNA from 1 species